UUUUAAAUUUGGAAGUAGAAACUUGGAAGAACUAAAAGUAACUGACUUAAGUGGCCUGAAAGAUCAGAGAUCCAAGCCUGUAGUAUGAAAAGCCAAUGAAAGCAAACCGAUUGAUCCUGCAGAACUUGAGGAAGGCACAGGAAUUUGGGACCAUGGGUAUCUGGAAAAGUAGGAGGCUCAGGAUGGGGCUUAAAAAGAUGGAUUGGUUGAAAAUAUUUAUAUAUAUUGGUGAUUAAAUCCCCAGAUCUUCUUUCCUGGGGCCACGGUUCCCCCAUACACUGGCCAAGGAUUUGAGGUUCACUCUAGAGAGAAUGAAUCACAUUCUCUAGACAGUAAACACAAGCUAGUAAACACAUUCUCUAGAUAAAAGCACACAGGUCCUCAAAUUGGAGAAGCUGCACACACCUGCAGGUAAGUUAGAGGAGUCCCUUUACUGGAAACAGAGAAUGUUAAAUGUAAAUAUGCAAAUGGAAAUGAGAUCUCCAACCCAACCCCACUCAGCUUCCUGAACACUAACAGUGAAACUUGUAAAACCAUUUCCUUUAUCCUAAGCAAUGAACCUGGAAGAUUUUCAUUUGGGAAGCAUAACUUGCACAAGGAGGAAGUGCUAUGGAGACUACUUUUAUGGUCCCUCAAAAAGACAACUGUGUCCAUACCUGCCCAUCUUGCAGUGAAGCCUAUCAGUUAGUAAGUCCCACACAGAGCUACUUAAUUUCCAAUCAGGUAUCCACAAAUCAUCAAAUGUUUGAGGAAAGACUCUAACAAUGCACUGAACAAACAGAAAAAAAGAAAAGCGAUGAAGCUUUGAAAUAUGCUCAGAAACACAAAAUGAGAAAACAUGCCCAUAAAAAAGAAUGGAUUGAUUUAAAAAGAAAGAUCUUGGAUAUUAAAAAGUGAUAGCAGAAACUAAAAAUU
rnacentral:lncRNA from 1 species